rnacentral:rRNA from 1 species
CGACUGGCGGCGUGCUUAACACAUGCAAGUCGAACGGACAAUCAUAGAGGAAGUUUCGGAUGGAAUCUAUGAGAGUUAGUGGCGGACGGGUGAGUAACGCGUGGGUAACCUACCCUUUCAUGGGGACAACAGUUGGAAACGACUGUUAAUACCGAAUGAGCUCCUAUGAUCGCAUGAUCUAGGGAGAAAAGAUGGCCUCUGCAUAUGCUAUCGGGAAAGGAUGGACCCGCGUCUGAUUAGGUAGUUGGUGAGGUAACGGCUCACCAAGCCGACGAUCAGUAGCCGGCCUGAGAGGGUGGCCGGCCACAUUGGGACUGAGACACGGCCCAAACUCCUACGGGAGGCAGCAGUGGGGAAUCUUCCGCAAUGGGCGAAAGCCUGACGGAGCAACGCCGCGUGAGUGAAGAAAGGCCUUCGGGUCGUAAAGCUCUGUCUUUAGGGAAGAACAACUAUGGUGUAAAUAAUGCCAUAGCCUGACGGUACCUAAGGAGGAAGCUCCGGCUAACUACGUGCCAGCAGCAGC